rnacentral:rRNA from 1 species
CUGGCAGGCCUAACACAUGCAAGUCGAGCGGUAGCACAGAGAGCUUGCUCUCGGGUGACGAGCGGCGGACGGGUGAGUAAUGUCUGGGAAACUGCCUGAUGGAGGGGGAUAACUACUGGAAACGGUAGCUAAUACCGCAUAAUGUCGCAAGACCAAAGUGGGGGACCUUCGGGCCUCAUGCCAUCAGAUGUGCCCAGAUGGGAUUAGCUAGUAGGUGGGGUAACGGCUCACCUAGGCGACGAUCCCUAGCUGGUCUGAGAGGAUGACCAGCCACACUGGAACUGAGACACGGUCCAGACUCCUACGGGAGGCAGCAGUGGGGAAUAUUGCACAAUGGGCGCAAGCCUGAUGCAGCCAUGCCGCGUGUGUGAAGAAGGCCUUCGGGUUGUAAAGCACUUUCAGCGGGGAGGAAGGCGAUGAGGUUAAUAACCUUGUCGAUUGACGUUACCCGCAGAAGAAGCACCGGCUAACUCCGUGCCAGCAGCCGCGGUAAUACGGAGGGUGCAAGCGUUAAUCGGAAUUACUGGGCGUAAAGCGCACGCAGGCGGUCUGUCAAGUCAGAUGUGAAAUCCCCGGGCUCAACCUGGGAACUGCAUUCGAAACUGGCAGGCUAGAGUCUUGUAGAGGGGGGUAGAAUUCCAGGUGUAGCGGUGAAAUGCGUAGAGAUCUGGAGGAAUACCGGUGGCGAAGGCGGCCCCCUGGACAAAGACUGACGCUCAGGUGCGAAAGCGUGGGGAGCAAACAGGAUUAGAUACCCUGGUAGUCCACGCCGUAAACGAUGUCGAUUUGGAGGUUGUGCAGCUUUGAGGCGUGGCUUCCGGAGCUAACGCGUUAAAUCGACCGCCUGGGGAGUACGGCCGCAAGGUUAAAACUCAAAUGAAUUGACGGGGGCCCGCACAAGCGGUGGAGCAUGUGGUUUAAUUCGAUGCAACGCGAAGAACCUUACCUGGUCUUGACAUCCACAGAACUUUCCAGAGAUGGAUUGGUGCCUUCGAGAACUGUGAGACAGGUGCUGCAUGGCUGUCGUCAGCUCGUGUUGUGAAAUGUUGGGUUAAGUCCCGCAACGAGCGCAACCCUUAUCCUUUGUUGCCAGCGGUUAGGCCGGGAACUCAAAGGAGACUGCC